rnacentral:rRNA from 1 species
GACGAACGCUGGCGGCGCGCCUAACACAUGCAAGUCGAACGAGCGAGAGAGAGCUUGCUUUCUCGAGCGAGUGGCGAACGGGUGAGUAACGCGUGAGGAACCUGCCUCAAAGAGGGGGACAACAGUUGGAAACGACUGCUAAUACCGCAUAAGCCCACGGUGCCGCAUGGCACAGAGGGAAAAGGAGCAAUCCGCCUUGAGAUGGCCUCGCGUCCGAUUAGCUAGUUGGUGAGGUAAUGGCCCACCAAGGCGACGAUCGGUAGCCGGACUGAGAGGUUGAACGGCCACAUUGGGACUGAGACACGGCCCAGACUCCUACGGGAGGCAGCAGUGGGGAAUAUUGCACAAUGGGGGAAACCCUGAUGCAGCGACGCCGCGUGGAGGAAGAAGGUCUUCGGAUUGUAAACUCCUGUUGUUGGGGAAGAUAAUGACGGUACCCAACAAGGAAGUGACGGCUAACUACGUG